GACCUGAUGGCGAAGUGGCAAUCGUGUCCGCCGUGAUCGUGGAAGUCUCCUGUUCGAUUCAGGAUCGGGUCG